rnacentral:rRNA from 1 species
GGUUAAGCGACUAAGCGUACACGGUGGAUGCCCUGGCAGUCAGAGGCGAUGAAGGACGUGCUAAUCUGCGAAAAGCGUCGGUAAGGUGAUAUGAACCGUUACAGCCGGCGAUGUCCGAAUGGGGAAACCCAGUGCAAUUCGUUGCACUAUCGUUUGAUGAAUACAUAGUCAAACGAGGCGAACCGGGGGAACUGAAACAUCUAAGUACCCCGAGGAAAAGAAAUCAACCGAGAUUCCCCCAGUAGCGGCGAGCGAACGGGGAGCAGCCCGGAGUCUGAAUCAGCUUGUGUGUUAGUGGAAGCGUCUGGAAAGUCGCAGGGUACAGGGUGAUACUCCCGUACACUAAAACACACAGGUUGUGAACUCGAAGAGUAGGGCGGGACACGUGGUAUCCUGUCUGAAUAUGGGGGGACCAUCCUCCAAGGCUAAAUACUCCUGACUGACCGAUAGUGAACCAGUACCGUGAGGGAAAGGCGAAAAGAACCCCGGCGAGGGGAGUGAAAAAGAACCUGAAACCGUGUACGUACAAGCAGUAGGAGCCCACUAGUUGGGUGACUGCGUACCUUUUGUAUAAUGGGUCAGCGACUUAUAUUCUGUAGCAAGGUUAACCGUAUAGGGGAGCCGCAGGGAAACCGAGUCUUAACUGGGCGUUAAGUUGCAGGGUAUAGACCCGAAACCCGGUGAUCUAGCCAUGGGCAGGUUGAAGGUUGGGUAACACUAACUGGAGGACCGAACCGACUAAUGUUGAAAAAUUAGCGGAUGACUUGUGGCUGGGGGUGAAAGGCCAAUCAAACCGGGAGAUAGCUGGUUCUCCCCGAAAGCUAUUUAGGUAGCGCCUCGUGAACUCAUCUUCGGGGGUAGAGCACUGUUUCGGCUAGGGGGUCAUCCCGACUUACCAACCCGAUGCAAACUACGAAUACCGAAGAAUGUUAUCACGGGAGACACACGGCGGGUGCUAACGUCCGUCGUGAAGAGGGAAACAACCCAGACCGCCAGCUAAGGUCCCAAAGUCAUGGUUAAGUGGGAAACGAUGUGGGAAGGCCCAGACAGCCAGGAUGUUGGCUUAGAAGCAGCCAUCAUUUAAAGAAAGCGUAAUAGCUCACUGGUCGAGUCGGCCUGCGCGGAAGAUGUAACGGGGCUAAACCAUGCACCGAAGCUGCGGCAGCGACACUAUGUGUUGUUGGGUAGGGGAGCGUUCUGUAAGCCGUUGAAGGUGGCCUGUGAGGGUUGCUGGAGGUAUCAGAAGUGCGAAUGCUGACAUAAGUAACGAUAAUGCGGGUGAAAAACCCGCACGCCGGAAGACCAAGGGUUCCUGUCCAACGUUAAUCGGGGCAGGGUGAGUCGACCCCUAAGGCGAGGCCGAAAGGCGUAGUCGAUGGGAAACAGGUUAAUAUUCCUGUACUCGGUGUUACUGCGAAGGGGGGACGGAGAAGGCUAUGUUGGCCGGGCGACGGUUGUCCCGGUUUAAGCAUGUAGGCGGAUGUUCCAGGUAAAUCCGGAACGUUAUUAACGCUGAGGUGUGAUGACGAGGCACUACGGUGCUGAAGUGACAAAUGCCCUGCUUCCAGGAAAAGCCUCUAAGCAUCAGGUAACAUCAAAUCGUACCCCAAACCGACACAGGUGGUCAGGUAGAGAAUACCAAGGCGCUUGAGAGAACUCGGGUGAAGGAACUAGGCAAAAUGGUGCCGUAACUUCGGGAGAAGGCACGCUGAUGGUAGGUGAAGCGACUUGCUCGUGGAGCUGAAAUCAGUCGAAGAUACCAGCUGGCUGCAACUGUUUAUUAAAAACACAGCACUGUGCAAACACGAAAGUGGACGUAUACGGUGUGACGCCUGCCCGGUGCCGGAAGGUUAAUUGAUGGGGUUAUCCGUAAGGAGAAGCUCUUGAUCGAAGCCCCGGUAAACGGCGGCCGUAACUAUAACGGUCCUAAGGUAGCGAAAUUCCUUGUCGGGUAAGUUCCGACCUGCACGAAUGGCGUAAUGAUGGCCAGGCUGUCUCCACCCGAGACUCAGUGAAAUUGAACUCGCUGUGAAGAUGCAGUGUACCCGCGGCAAGACGGAAAGACCCCGUGAACCUUUACUAUAGCUUGACACUGAACACUGGUCCUUGAUGUGUAGGAUAGGUGGGAGGCUUUGAAGUGUGGACGCCAGUCUGCAUGGAGCCAUCCUUGAAAUACCACCCUUUAAUGGCUGGUGUUCUAACGUGGGCCCCUAAUCGGGGUUGCGGACAGUGUCUGGUGGGUAGUUUGACUGGGGCGGUCUCCUCCUAAAGAGUAACGGAGGAGCACGAAGGUCAGCUAAUCCUGGUCGGACAUCAGGAGGUUAGUGCAAUGGCAUAAGCUGGCUUGACUGCGAGCGUGACGGCGCGAGCAGGUGCGAAAGCAGGUCAUAGUGAUCCGGUGGUUCUGAAUGGAAGGGCCAUCGCUCAACGGAUAAAAGGUACUCCGGGGAUAACAGGCUGAUACCGCCCAAGAGUUCAUAUCGACGGCGGUGUUUGGCACCUCGAUGUCGGCUCAUCACAUCCUGGGGCUGAAGUAGGUCCCAAGGGUAUGGCUGUUCGCCAUUUAAAGUGGUACGCGAGCUGGGUUUAGAACGUCGUGAGACAGUUCGGUCCCUAUCUGCCGUGGGCGCUGGAGAAUUGAGGGGGGCUGCUCCUAGUACGAGAGGACCGGAGUGGACGCAUCACUGGUGUUCGGGUUGUCAUGCCAAUGGCAUUGCCCGGUAGCUAAAUGCGGAAGAGAUAAGUGCUGAAAGCAUCUAAGCACGAAACUUGCCCCGAGAUGAGUUCUCCCUGACCCUUUAAGGGUCCUGAAGGAACGUUGAAGACGACGACGUUGAUAGGCCGGGUGUGUAAGCGCAGCGAUGCGUUGAGCUAACCGGUACUAAUGAACCGUGAGGCUUAACCUU